GUUUCUGUCCUACCGGCUGCACUGCAUAAAGCUGACCUCCUCCACACUGUGCUGUUGCAGAUCCUGCAAACUCAACUCAGAUACUCACCAAAGCUCUAAGGGGUCUCACCAUGACCAAGCUACUAUUCAUCUCAGCCUUCAUGGCAGUACUUGUCAUCAGUGUGGUGGGUUUUCGUGUCCCAAGGCGUGCUGAGUGGGUACCCCACGUGGAAUCAAUCAAUAUAUGUCCAGACCAUGGACCUGGCUGGCCAGAUAGUUGGAAAAGAGAACCUUAAAGCUGCUCUAGAUACAACAACUGAAACAACUUUCAGUCUGACAGGCGCAGCAGCUAAUCUUGCAGAGAAAAUUUUCAAAGCUCUCUUUACAAACU